GGCCAGCGUGGCCAUGGUCAUGAGCCUGGUAUGCUGGGGAGGGGGCAAAGGCCUCCAAAGGAGAAGCUUUUCAGGAAUUUCUCCUGGGUCCUGCCUGAGCACUCAGGAGAUGUUCGGAUGGAGACCCUGCCUCAGACAUCUCGGGAUGCUGGUCCACGGAAAACAAUCACAGCCUGGAGCUGAGUGUGUCAAAAUGAAGAACGUGGCCAACCUGCUGCCCAACCGGGGGCCCAGCUUGAGUCCCCAUAUCAGACGGAGGCAGGCUUGCCAGAGACCAGAGCGGCUGCCGAGGUCCUCGUCGGGUCAAGUCAGACAACAGGCAGGACGAAGUGGCAGUGCCCCGAGCAGAGGCUCCGGCCAAGAGCACAAGCCCAGCCUCUGCCUCCGUCUUCCCUUCCCUGGUCGUGGCCACUGCGAGGCGAGUAGGAUGGAGAGGGAGGGAGAGAACGUGCAGGUUAGGGAUGCAAGGGGGGCUCCCUACAGCCUCUGACCCCAUCAGGAUGGAAGCCUGGCAUGAAGGAGUCGUGUCCCUGCCUCUCCUUCGUAGAGAAAGUGCUGCAGGUUCCCAGAGUUCCAGGCACACUCAUACCCACGUGUAAGGACCCACGCAAAUGCCAAGAAAGCGGCAAAAGCCCUUCUCUGCUUCGUCACCAUUUUCGAUGCACAGAUGCAAAGUCUGUAGGACAGACACUGCCUUGCAUGUGGUGAGGCCUCUGUAAUGUUUAUUGGAAAAAAAUAAAGUCACCGUCCAUGAGAAAGCCAAGCGCAGAGGGUUUUGCUGUAUAUCCUUUUUUAAGUCCCUCUGACUAAUUAAAGUAUUUGUUGAUUUCCAGCCCAUAGUUUCAAUCAACCCAGGGGGAUUUUCAAAGGCUUUGGUGUGCC
rnacentral:lncRNA from 1 species